rnacentral:rRNA from 1 species
UACAGAGGUCCCAAGCGUUGUUCGGAUUCACUGGGCGUAAAGGGUGCGUAGGCGGUCGGGUAAGUCGGGUGUGAAAUCUCGGAGCUUAACUCCGAAACUGCAUUCGAUACUGCCGUGCUUGAGGACUGGAGAGGAGACUGGAAUUUACGGUGUAGCGGUGAAAUGCGUAGAUAUCGUAAGGAAGACCAGUGGCGAAGGCGGGUCUCUGGACAGUUCCUGACGCUGAGGCACGAAGGCCAGGGGAGCAAACGGG